GGGAUAAGAACUACGCAUAUCAGACUCGACCUCUCAAGUAUCUUUAUCUACUGGUCGAUUUCUCCACUGGACCUUAACCACAGGGAUCAAUCUAGAUUGCAACCGCCUAACAUCCCUAGCCAAAAUGGAAACUGGCUCCUCAACAAAGGAUAACCACUCAUCUAACUGAACCGACUCCCAACGAAUGAUAUGAGACUCAUCAAGAAU
rnacentral:lncRNA from 1 species